GUAUCCUAACCGUGCGAAGGUAGCGUAAUCAUUUGUCCUUUAAAUGAGGACUGGUAUGAACGGCUUCACGAAGGCUGCACUGUCUCCUUUUUCUAAUCAGUUAAACUAAUCUCCCCGUGAAGAAGCGGGGAUUAAUCUAUAAGACGAGAAGACCCUAUGGAGCUUUAAACAAUUGUAAACACUUGCAUUUAAAUUUUUUUAACCACAUUAAGUCAAGCAUUAUGUUUCUAGUUUUAGGUUGGGGUGACCAUGGAGAAAAACCUAUCCUCCAUGUUGAAAGAAAUUUUAUUUCUUAGCAAAAAGUUACAUCUUAAUGCAUCAACAAAUUGACCCUAAUUGACCCAAUAAUUUGAUCAACGAACCAAGUUACCCUAGGGAUAACAGCGCAAUCCACUUCAAGAGCUCUUAUCGACAAGUGGGUUUACGACCUCGAUGUUGGAUCAGGGUGUCCAAGUGGUGCAGCCGCUA
rnacentral:rRNA from 1 species